rnacentral:rRNA from 1 species
UACGAAGGGUGCAAGCGUUACUCGGAAUUACUGGGCGUAAAGCGUGCGUAGGCGGUUUGUUAAGUCUGAUGUGAAAGCCCUGGGCUCAACCUGGGAAUGGCAUUGGAUACUGGCGAGCUAGAGUGCGGUAGAGGGUAGUGGAAUUCCCGGUGUAGCAGUGAAAUGCGUAGAGAUCGGGAGGAACAUCUGUGGCGAAGGCGACUACCUGGACCAGCACUGACACUGAGGCACGAAAGCGUGGGGAGCAAACAGG